rnacentral:rRNA from 1 species
UACGGAGGAUCCAAGCGUUAUCCGGAUUUAUUGGGUUUAAAGGGUGCGUAGGCGGCCUGUUAAGUCAGGGGUGAAAGACGGUAGCUCAACUAUCGCAGUGCCCUUGAUACUGAUGGGCUUGAGUAAACUAGAGGUAGGCGGAAUGUGACAAGUAGCGGUGAAAUGCAUAGAUAUGUCACAGAACACCGAUUGCGAAGGCAGCUUACCAUGGUUUGAUUGACGCUGAGGCACGAAAGCGUGGGGAUCAAACAGG